GUCCCUGAUUCCCCUUGGGUGACCUGACAGCAAGUGUGAACAAUUGGGAUGGGGCGGGGAGUAGGAGCCUGUAUAAGAAAAAGACACAAAUAUCAGGACUGUCCCUAUAAAAUGGGGACAUCUGGUCACCCUCGAUUCCCCCCAGGCUUGCGGGGCAGUGAGGUUGCAUCCGUGCCCUGUCAAUGCAAGUUAUGCUGACAAUCAAAAACCAGUAUAAUUACAUCACUUCUGCAUGUUCACACAGUGCAGCUUCUGUUGGCAGAGCACAUUCACAGUUGGUGCUUUAGCAUCGCCAGAGAAAGCAGUGCAAUGUAGGUAGCUAUCCCACUGUGCUACUUGCCACCUUUUCCAGCGAGGAGUUGUGGGAAGGUGGAAUGGAUUACAGUGCAUCAUGGUGCGGGCUCAACAUCCCAUGAUGCAGUUUUUUCCAACCCAUCAUUCCAUGGGCUUCUGACUGCAUUUUUCAAUGACCACUGUUUACUGUGUGCCGACCAUCUCUGUCUCUCUGCACGGAUGGAUCCUGCACUACUCUCUACUGUUGAGGUCACUGUUAUGAACAUGACGUGGCUGGGCAUGCAAUAUAUCAUGAGCUCCCAGUCUGAACAGGAAUCAGAGGUGCCUGACGUGCUGUGUGGAAAGAAACACCAGAUCACUUUUGGCAUUUACAGAGCAGCUGCACAUGGUGGACCAUUGCUUUUGGGUUUGGGAAACAAGCACUGAGAGAUGGGAUUGCAUCGUUAUGCUGGUCUGGGAUAACAAGCAGUGGCUGCAGAAUUUUCAGAUGCAGAAAACCACCUCUUUGGCACUGUGUGUGGAAUUCACCCCAGCACUGUGGCGCAAGGACACCAAAAUGAGAGCUGCCCUUUUGCUGGUGAUUGUAUAUGGAAGCUGGCAACAGACUAGUCCGUCACAAGUCAGUUUGGAGUCGGAAAGUUGACCAUUGGGGCUGCGGUAACACCAGUGUUCAGAGCCAUUAAUCGCAUCCUGCUACUGAGGACUGUGACUCUUGGCAAUGUGUGUGAAAUAGUGGAUGGUUUGUGGCAAUAGGAUUCCCUAACUGUGGCGGGGUGACAGAUGGCAUGCAUAUCCCAAUUUUGGCCCCAGACCAUCUUGGGAUGGAGUACAAAAAUAGAAAGGGUUACCUCUCUGUUAUUGCAGGUGCUUAUGGAUCACUGUGAACAUUUCACUGACAUCAGCGUGAGGUGGUCCGGGAGGGUGCAUGACAUAUAAAUCUUCAGGAACACUGGCCUGUACAGAAAGCUACAAGCGGGGACUUUCUUUCCAGCCCAGAAGAUUCCAAUGGGGGAUGUUGAAAUGCCCAUAGUGAUCCAGGGAGACCCAGCAUACACCAAAUUCUCAUGGCUUAUGAAGCCUUACCCGGGAAACCUGGACAGCCACAAGGAGUGCUUCAACAAUAGGCCGAGCAGGUGCAGAAUGACGAAGCAGUGCAAAGGAUUGGUGGAUCUGGGAAGGAAGGAGCUGAAGAAGAGGGAAAGAGCAUGGAAAUUAACCUGGAGGGUUGGUGGAAGAAGUAUGGAACAGUUUUUUUUAUGCAGGGGAGGGUCUGUUGGGGAGCCUCCUCCAUUCAGACCUUGACUGACCCCUAGCCUCUCCCAUUCAGUCAGGCACAUCUGCCCCUGUUCCCAUGUGUCCCUGCACCUCGCUCCCCCCUGUCCCCAUAUGGCCUUGUAGCCUCCUCCCAGUCAGCCCCUAGCACAAUGCUGUUACCCCACUAGCUCUUGAACCCCCUGCUCCAGUCUAUCCACCCCAGCCCUUCUGAACCACAAUCUGUGACCUCCAGCAGCCCCGUGUAUUCCAGUCUGUCCCUCCAUAUCCUGUGCUUCCUAACCUGGCUCCAUGGGCAAGGGUACUGUUAUGAAUGCAGCCAGCAGCUGGCUGUUACUGCCUGUCAGCUGCUGCUGUCUGUUCUGGUGCCACAGUAGCCUCUGGUGGGCAAAAGGCAGAACUGCAGCACUUCUCGGGCAGCAUGUAUUUUCUGUGCAGAAAAAAACUCUGCACCAGACAAGAAUUCUGCAUGUGCGCAGUGGCACAGAAAUCCCCCAGGA